rnacentral:rRNA from 1 species
GCAAAACGCGAAGAACCUUACCAGGGCUUAAAUGUAGAGUGACAGGACUGGAAACAGUUUUUUACUUCGGACACUUUACAAGGUGCUGCAUGGUUGUCGUCAGCUCGUGCCGUGAGGUGUCAGGUUAAGUCCUAUAACGAGCGCAACCCCGUGUUGUUAGUUGCCAGCGAGUAAUGUCGGGAACUCUAACAAGACUGCCGGUGCAAACCGUGAGGAAGGUGGGGUAUGACGUCAAAUCACCACGGCCCUUACGUCCUGGGCUACACACGUGCUACAAUGGCCGGUACAGAGAGCAGCCACCUCGCGAGGGGGUAGCGAAUCUAUAAAGCCGGUCACAGUUCGGAUUGGAGUCUGCAACCCGGACUCCAUGAAGCUGGAAUCGCUAGUAAUCGGAUAUCAGCCAUGAUCCGGUGAAUACGUUCCC